rnacentral:lncRNA from 1 species
CAAAAUGCAAAUAGUUCUUCCGGUGUAAGAAAUAACAAACAUCCUCUGAAAUACUCCCUCUGUGAAGCCUCUUUGGAAAAACAAAUGACUAUCUAUGUUCUAUUCUUAGCCAUGCCUAGUUAAAAUCAGGCAUUUUGGAGGUAACUGUAGGACUUGGGGCUAAAGAAAAAAUGGCUCCUUUUAAAAUCAAGUUGCGACCUUCUGGUUUCUAUCUCCACCUGUAGCAAAUCCUCUGCCACUGGGCUCCAUACCCAAAUAGCGCCUUGAGGGAGCGAGCUUCCCAGGAGUGCAGACAGGACUGUGAGUGCAGGUAGGACCACCACUGCUGCUCAGAGGAAUUCGCCCCAACUCUCAGGACCCAGGAACCGAGAGGCAGCUUGAGACAGGAGCCUUCCAGUCUCAGGAGAGAGCUGGUCUUCCAGGAGUGCCUACACACCUGCGAGCACAGAUAAGACCACCACUUCUCCUCAAAUUCCUGGCCCAAGAGGGACUCUCACAAAGCCAUCAAGAAACAGGAACCAGGGAUCAGCUGGGGACAGGAUCCUUCUGGUUUCUGUCUGCAUCCUAGAGCUGACCCUGUACCACAGCUCUCCAUACCUAAAUUCCUCCCAGAGAGAAGUGGUCUCCCAGGAGUACUGACACACGGGCUUGCAGGAGGGACAAGCCAAAGUCAGAGACAGCAAAACCAGCUAACACCAGAGAUAACCAGAUAUUGAAAGGUAAGCACAAGAGCAUUAGCAACAGAAACCAAGACUACUUGGCAUCAUCAGAACCCAGUUCUCCCAUCACAGUGAGAGCCCUGGUUACCCCAACACACCAGAAAGGCAAGACUCUGAUUCAAAAUGACAUCUCAUGGUGGUGAUAGAGGAAUUUAAGAAGGACAUAAAUAACUCCCUUAAACAAAUACAGGAGAACACAGGAAAACAGGUAGAAAACUUUAAAGAGGAAACACAAAAAUCCCUUAAAGAAUUACAGGGAAACACAACCAAACAGGUGAAGGAACUGAACAAAACCAUCCAGGAUCUAAAAAUGGAAAUAGAAACAAUAAAGAAAUCACAAAGGGAGACAACACUGGAGAUAGAAAAACUAGGAAAGAUACCAGGAGUCACAGAUGCAAGAACUCUCAAUUCUGAACAUCUAUCGCCCAAAUGCAAGGGCACCCAGAAUUCUCAACUGAGGAAUACAGAAUGGCUGAGAAGCACCUAAAAAAAUGUUCAACAUCCUUAGUCAUCAGGGAAAUGCAAAUCAAAACUUAACCCUGAGAUUCCACCUCAACCAGUCAGAAUGACUAAGAUCAAAAACUAGGUGACAGCAGAUGCUGGCGAGGAUGUGGAGAAAGAGGAACACUCCUCCAUUGUUGGUGGGAUUGCAAGCUUGUACAACCACUCUGGAAAUCAGUCUGGAGGCUCCUCAGAAAAUUGGACAUAGUACUUACAGGAGGACUCAGCAAUACCACUCCUGGGCAUAUACCCAGAAGAUGCUCCAAUAUGUAAUAAGGACACAUGCUCCAUCCACUAUAUUUAUAGCAGCCUUAUUUAUAAUAGCCAGAAGCUGAAAAGAAUACAGAUGUCACUCAACAGAGGAAUGGAUACAAAAAAUGUGGUACAUUUACACAAUGGAGUACUACUCAGCUAUUAAAAACAACAGAUUUAUGAAAUUCUUAGGCAAAUGGGUGGAACUAGAAAAUAUCCUGAGAGAGGUAACCCAAUUACAAAAGAACACACAUGGUAUUCACUCACUGAUAAGUGGAUAUUAGCCCAGAAACUCGAAUACCCAAGACACAAUUCACUGACCACAUGAAGCUCUAGAAGCAAGAAGACCAAAGUGUGGAUACUUCGGUCCUUCUUAGAAGGAGAAACAAAAUACCCAUGGGAGGAGUUACAGAGACAAAGUGUGGAGCAAAAACUGAAGGAAAGGUCAUCCAGAGACUGUCCCACCUGGAGAUCCAUCCUAUAUACAGUCACCAAAACCAGACACUAUUAUGGAUGCCAACAAGUGCUUGCUGACAGGAGCCUGAUAUAGCUGUCUCCUAAGGGACUCCACCAGUGCCUGACAAAUACAGAGGUAGGUGCUCUUAGCCAACCAUUGGAGUGAGCACAGGGUCCCCAAUGAAGGAACUAGAGAAAGGACACAAGGAGCUGAAGGGGUUUGCAGCCCCAUAGGAGGAAGAACAAUAUGAACCAACCAGACCCCCCCCAGAGCUCCCAGGGAUUAAACCACCAACCAAAGAGUACAGAUGAAGGGACCCAUAACUCCAGCCACAUAUGUAGCAGAGGAUAGCCUUGUCAGUCAUCAAUGGGAGGAGAGGCCCUUGGUCCUGUGAAGGCUCUAUGCCCCAGUAUAGGGGAAUGUCAGGGCCAGGAAGGGGGAGAGUAGGUAGGUUGGUGAGCAGGGGGAUGGAGGGAAUAGGGGAGUUUUGGAGGGGAAACCAGGAAAGGGGAUAACAUUUAAAAUGUAAAUAAAGAAAACAUCUA